CUUUCGGGCGGGGCGGACACCAGCCGCGCGCCCUCGCCGGGCGCCGGGACCGGAAAAUCACCGCGAAGGGAGGGACGAGGAAAGGCGGCGGGUGGCUUCAGGACAAGCUGUGAGAUAUCGGUGGGCGAGGAUGUGAUGCCUGAAGAUGUGGCAUCUACCUUGAAACAGUCAAGGACCUGAGGAUGAAGCCAGCAUCUGAGGAAGACAGACAGAAAGGAUCUGGAUACAUCAUGAGCCUGAAAAGUAUCUUGCAUACACAACUGGCAGCACAGAAUCCUGACAAACCUCUCAUCAGAAAUCAACCACAGACUCUUUAUGCUCUUACCAAAAUGCUGGCUUUGAGAACUAAUUAUGAAUGAAAAUUACUGAUGUGAUUUUCAGGUUGAUUCUGUUAUACAAGUACAGAAUAACUGCAGUACAAAACAGCAAUCAAGUCUGAACAGGAAAUCUCUGGACAAAGAGAAAAAUACUAUCAUUGAAAUAAGGGACAAGGGAUUAUGGCAAUAUUAAAUAAUGGCACUGAUUAGUGAAAUGAUUCUAGGGGGAAGUGUCAAAAGAUUUUCUAAAGAACAUGUACUGAGCAGAUGAUCGCUGACUGCAUAAUUGCCCUUUCUGGGUAGGUGUGUAAGACACACACACGCACACACACGUUUGGGAGAAUUGUGACCAUCGGGUUC
rnacentral:lncRNA from 10 species